GGGUUGUGAGGUUAAGCGAACAAGCGUACACGGUGGAUGCCCUGGCAGUCAGAGGCGAUGAAGGACGUGCUAAUCUGCGAAAAGCGCCGGUAAGGUGAUAUGAACCGUUAUAACCGGCGAUGUCCGAAUGGGGAAACCCGGUGCACUUCGGUGCAUCAUCGUUAGCUGAAUACAUAGGCUAACGAGGCGAACCGGGGGAACUGAAACAUCUAAGUACCCCGAGGAAAAGAAAUCAACCGAGAUUCCCCCAGUAGCGGCGAGCGAACGGGGAACAGCCCAGAGCCUGAAUCAGCUUGUGUGUCAGUGGAACGGUCUGGAAAGGCCGGCGAUACAGGGUGACAGCCCCGUACACGAAGGCACACAGGCUGUGAGCUCGAUGAGUAGGGCGGGACACGUGAUAUCCUGUCUGAAGAUGGGGGGACCAUCCUCCAAGGCUAAAUACUCCUGACUGACCGAUAGUGAACCAGUACCGUGAGGGAAAGGCGAAAAGAACCCCGGCGAGGGGAGUGAAACAGAACCUGAAACCGUGUACGUACAAGCAGUGGGAGCCUUCGUAAGAGGGUGACUGCGUACCUUUUGUAUAAUGGGUCAGCGACUUAUAUUCUGUAGCAAGGUUAACCGUAUAGGGGAGCCGAAGGGAAACCGAGUCUUAACCGGGCGUUAAGUUGCAGGGUAUAGACCCGAAACCCGGUGAUCUAGCCAUGGGCAGGUUGAAGGUUGGGUAACACUAACUGGAGGACCGAACCGACUAAUGUUGAAAAAUUAGCGGAUGACCUGUGGCUGGGGGUGAAAGGCCAAUCAAACCGGGAGAUAGCUGGUUCUCCCCGAAAGCUAUUUAGGUAGCGCCUCGUGAAUUCAUCUCCGGGGGUAGAGCACUGUUUCGGCUAGGGGGCCAUCCCGGCUUACCAACCCGAUGCAAACUGCGAAUACCGGAGAAUGUUAUCACGGGAGACACACGGCGGGUGCUAACGUCCGUCGUGAAGAGGGAAACAACCCAGACCGCCAGCUAAGGUCCCAAAGUCAUGGUUAAGUGGGAAACGAUGUGGGAAGGCCCAGACAGCCAGGAUGUUGGCUUAGAAGCAGCCAUCAUUUAAAGAAAGCGUAAUAGCUCACUGGUCGAGUCGGCCUGCGCGGAAGAUGUAACGGGGCUAAACCAUGCACCGAAGCUGCGGCAGCGACACUAUGUGUUGUUGGGUAGGGGAGCGUUCUGUAAGCCUG
rnacentral:rRNA from 1 species